UACGGAGGGUGCAAGCGUUAAUCGGAAUUACUGGGCGUAAAGCGCGCGUAGGCGGUUUGUUAAGCGAGAUGUGAAAGCCCCGGGCUUAACCUGGGAACUGCAUUUCGAACUGGCAAGCUAGAGUGUAGAGGAGGGGUGUGGAAUUUCCGGUGUAGCGGUGAAAUGCGUAGAGAUCGGAAGGAACACCAGUGGCGAAGGCGACACCCUGGUCUGAUACUGACACUGAGGUGCGGAAGCGUGGGUAGCAAACAGG
rnacentral:misc_RNA from 1 species